UACGGAGGAUCCAAGCGUUAUCCGGAAUCAUUGGGUUUAAAGGGUCCGUAGGCGGUUUGGUAAGUCAGUGGUGAAAGCCCAUCGCUCAACGGUGGAACGGCCAUUGAUACUGUUAGACUUGAAUUAUUAGGAAGUAACUAGAAUAUGUAGUGUAGCGGUGAAAUGCUUAGAGAUUACAUGGAAUACCAAUUGCGAAGGCAGGUUACUACUAAUGGAUUGACGCUGAUGGACGAAAGCGUGGGUAGCGAACAGGA
rnacentral:rRNA from 1 species